rnacentral:rRNA from 1 species
GGUAGCGAAAUUCCUUGUCGGUUAAAUACCGACCUGCAUGAAUGGCGUAACGAGAUGGGAGCUGUCUCAAAGAGGGAUCCAGUGAAAUUGUAGUGGAGGUGAAAAUUCCUCCUACCCGCGGCAAGACGGAGAGACCCCGUGGACCUUUACUACAGCUUGACACUGCUAUUUGGAUAAGAAUGUGCAGGAUAGGUGGGAGGCUUUGAGUAUAUGACGCCAGUUGUAUAUGAGCCAUUGUUGAGAUACCACUCUUUCUUAUUUGGGUAGCUAACCAGCUUGAGUUAUCCUCAAGUGGGACAAUGUCUGGUGGGUAGUUUGACUGGGGCGGUCGCCUCCCAAAUAAUAACGGAGGCUUACAAAGGUUGGCUCAUAGCGGUUGGAAAUCGCUAGUAGAGUAUAAAGGUAUAAGCCAGCUUAACUGCAAGACAUACAAGUCAAGCAGAGACGAAAGUCGGUCUUAGUGAUCCGGUGGUUCUGUGUGGAAGGGCCAUCGCUCAAAGGAUAAAAGGU